GAUGGACGCUGGCGGCGUGCCUAAUACAUGCAAGUCGAGCGAACAGACGAGGAGCUUGCUCCUCUGACGUUAGCGGCGGACGGGUGAGUAACACGUGGAUAACCUACCUAUAAGACUGGGAUAACUUCGGGAAACCGGAGCUAAUACCGGAUAAUAUAUUGAACCGCAUGGUUCAAUAGUGAAAGACGGUUUUGCUGUCACUUAUAGAUGGAUCCGCGCCGCAUUAGCUAGUUGGUAAGGUAACGGCUUACCAAGGCAACGAUGCGUAGCCGACCUGAGAGGGUGAUCGGCCACACUGGAACUGAGACACGGUCCAGACUCCUACGGGAGGCAGCAGUAGGGAAUCUUCCGCAAAGGGCGAAAGCCUGACGGAGCAACGCCGCGUGAGUGAUGAAGGUCUUCGGAUCGUAAAACUCUGUUAUUAGGGAAGAACAAAUGUGUAAGUAACUAUGCACGUCUUGACGGUACCUAAUCAGAAAGCCACGGCUAACUACGUG
rnacentral:rRNA from 1 species